UAGUUCGCAGUGGUGUGUGUUUGCAUUAAAUAACAACUACAUACUAUAUAAUAUCGAAAAAUUAUGUAAUCAGUAAUCCGAAAUUAUAAAACCGAUAGAAUUCUACAAUUAAUAGUUUAUGCCGUGAAAGAGCAGCAUAUCAGACUCGGACAGGCGGAACGAAAAGUCCAACAGAAUCAAGCUGUGAGAGCAUUCGACGUUGUAUCAUCAUGAUCAGUAAAUGAGAAUAAGUGGUAAAUUUGCACAUUCUCGACACAGAUACUAAACACGUUCAGAGCGAAGCGCGAUAUACUAUUAAGUAGGAAGAAAAAAAACCUUCGAACGCAGUGAGCAGUGUUGUUUGCUUGUACAAGUAGGCACUUGCUUCUAAUGUGUGAUAUUAGAUUUGUGGAUCAGCGUGAAUAAGUGACACUACUUGCAAUAAUAGUUACUACAGUUCAAUCCAAGUGCACUUUGGAGUUGAUUAAAACAAUCCCAAAUUCCAGUGCUUCCUCGGAUCCGAAGCAAAUCGUGACCUAAUGAGUGCGGAAAGAGCGUCAGCCAUAUCGAUUUAAUCAAGUGAGAUGGAACUCAACGAACAUGAAAGCUUGGAUAAAAUCACCAACAGUUACACCAUGGAAUAAAGGAUCUUCAGUUCAAGAUUAGCUUUCCUAGUCAUUGGGGGGUCGGGCGAUUGCCUGUACCCCCUACUAGUGAGAUUUUAGCGACAAUUAGUAUGUUCGAACAAAUAAAAACCGAACCAAUGGGAUUCUACACCGCUUAUCCACCACCCCAGGGUGCCCAGACACCAAUUACAACAGCCACUCGCACUGACCAAACCCAACAAAC